rnacentral:rRNA from 1 species
CCUACGGGCGGCAGCAGUGAGGAAUAUUGGUCAAUGGGCGGAAGCCUGAACCAGCCAAGUAGCGUGCGGGAUGAAGGCCCUACGGGUCGUAAACCGCUGUUGCACGGGGAUAACACCCUCCACUUGUGGAGGUCUGCAGGUACCGUGCGAAUAAGGGCCGGCUAAUUCCGUGCCAGCAGCCGCGGUAAUACGGAAGGCCCGAGCGUUAUCCGGAUUCAUUGGGCUUAAAGGGAGCGUAGGCGGGCGUUCAAGUCAGCUGUAAAAUCGCGCGGCUCAACCGCGCCCCGCAGUUGAAACUGGACGCCUUGAGUUCACAACAGGCAGGCGGAAUUCGUGGUGUAGCGGUGAAAUGCAUAGAUAGCACGAGGAACCCCGAUUGCGAAGGCAGCCUGCCGGCGCUCAACUGACGCUCAUGCACGAAAGUGUGGGUAUCGAACAGGAUUAGAUACCCUUGUAGUC